rnacentral:rRNA from 1 species
UACAGAGGUCCCGAGCGUUGUUCGGAUUCAUUGGGCGUAAAGGGUGCGUAGGCGGUUUUUUAAGUUUGAUGUGAAAUCCCGGAGCUCAACUCCGGAACUGCCUUUGAUACUGGCGAUCUUGAGUUCGAGAGAGGUGAGUGGAACUGCGAGUGUAGAGGUGAAAUUCGUAGAUAUUCGCAAGAACACCAGUGGCGAAGGCGGCUCACUGGCUCGAUACUGACGCUGAGGUGCGAAAGCGUGGGGAGCAAACAGG